AUGUACCUCAUCAACCGGAAGGAAACCCCUCCGAUUGAUGAGGUACAUCUACCUCAUUGACCGGAAGGAAACCCUUCUCUUUGACCGGAAGGGGUUCCUUCCGGUCAACGAGGUACAUGUACCUCAUCAACCGGAAGGAAACCCUUCUGAUUGAUGAGUUACAU
rnacentral:miRNA from 1 species